UACGGAGGGUGCAAGCGUUGUCCGGAUUUAUUGGGUUUAAAGGGUGCGCAGGCGGUCGGGUGUGUCAGAUGUGAAAUCCCGAGGCUCAACCUCGGAACUGCGUCUGAAACUACUCGACUAGAGUACUGGAGAGGGUAACGGAAUUCACGGUGUAGCAGUGAAAUGCGUAGAUAUCGUGAGGAACACCAGAGGCGAAGGCGGUUACCUGGACAGUUACUGACGCUCAGGCACGAAAGCAUGGGGAGCAAAAGGG
rnacentral:rRNA from 1 species